GACGAACGCUGGCGGCGUGCCUAAUACAUGCCAGUCGAGCGGACGAAUCGAAAGCUUGCUUUUGAUUCGUUAGCGGCGGACGGGUGAGUAACACGUGGGCAACCUGCCCUGUAGACGGGGAUAACACCGAGAAAUCGGUGCUAAUACCGGAUAACACGAAAUGUCGCAUGACGUUUCGUUGAAAGACGGCGCAAGCUGUCGCUACAGGAUGGGCCCGCGGCGCAUUAGCUAGUUGGUGAGGUAACGGCUCACCAAGGCGACGAUGCGUAGCCGACCUGAGAGGGUGAUCGGCCACACUGGGACUGAGACACGGCCCAGACUCCUACGGGAGGCAGCAGUAAGGAAUCUUCCGCAAUGGACGAAAGUCUGACGGAGCAACGCCGCGUGAGAGAAGAAGGCCUUCGGGUCGUAAAGCUCUGUUGUUAGGGAAGAACAAGUAACGCAGUAACUGGCGUUACCGUGACGGUACCUAACGAGAAAGCCACGGCUAACUACGUG
rnacentral:rRNA from 1 species